UACGAAGGGGACUAGCGUUGUUCGGAAUACUGGGCGUAAAGCGCACGUAGGCGGAUUUGUAAGUCAGGGGUGAAAUCCCGGGGCUCAACCUCGGAACUGCCUUUGAUACUGCAAAUCUCGAGUCCGAUAGAGGUGGGUGGAAUUCCUAGUGUAGAGGUGAAAUUCGUAGAUAUUAGGAAGAACACCGGUGGCGAAGGCGGCCCACUGGAUCGGUACUGACGCUGAGGUGCGAAAGCGUGGGGAGC
rnacentral:rRNA from 1 species